UCCGCGGGUAAGGAUGUAGGGCGAGGUGUAGGCAAAUCCGCACCUCAUAUGCCUGAGAUCUUAUACGGACGCAUUAGCGGAAGUCGGUAAUCCUAUGCUGCCAAGAAAAUCUUCUAGCGAGGUUCGAGCCGCCCGUACCCCAAACCGACUCAGGUGGUUAGGUAGAGAAUACCAAGGCGAUCGAGUGAAUCGUGGUUAAGGAACUCGGCAAAAUACCCCCGUAACUUCGGGAGAAGGGGGGCCCAGAGGGUGACGGAGACUAGCGCUCCUGAGCCUGAACGGCCGCAGAGACCAGGGAGAAGCGACUGUUUACUAAAAACACAGGUCCGUGCCAAGUCGCAAGACGAUGUAUACGGACUGACGCCUGCCCGGUGCUGGAACGUUAAGGGGACCGGUUAGCCUCACGGCGAAGCUGAGAACUUAAGCGCCAGUAAACGGCGGUGGUAACUAUAACCAUCCUAAGGUAGCGAAAUUCCUUGUCGGGUAGGUUCCGACCUGCACGAAUGGCGUAACGACUUCUCCACUGUCUCAACCACGAACUCGGCGAAAUUGCACUACGAGUAAGGAUGCUCGUUACGCGCAGAAGGACGGAAAGACCCCGGGACCUUUACUACAGCUUGGUAUUGGUGUUCGGAACGGCUUGUGUAGGAUAGGUGGGAGGCUUUGAAGCUGAUACGCCAGUAUCGGUGGAGCCAACGUUGAAAUACCACUCUGGUCGUUCUGGAUGUCUAACCUAGGUCCGUAAUCCGGAUCAGGGACAGUGCCUGGUGGGUAGUUUAACUGGGGCGGUUGCCUCCUAAAAGGUAACGGAGGCGCCCAAAGGUUCCCUCAGCCUGGUUGGCAAUCAGGUUUUGAGUGUAAGUGCACAAGGGAGCUUGACUGUGAGACUGACAAGUCGAACAGGGACGAAAGUCGGGACUAGUGAUCCGGCGGUGGCUUGUGGAAGCGCCGUCGCUCAACGGAUAAAAGGUACCCCGGGGAUAAUAGGCUGAUCUUGCCCAAGAGUCCAUAUCGACGGCAUGGUUUGGCACCUCGAUGUCGGCUCGUCGCAUCCUGGGGCUGGAGUAGGUCCCAAGGGUUGGGCUGUUCGCCCAUUAAAGCGGUACGCGAGCUGGGUUUAGAACGUCGUGAGACAGUUCGGUCCCUAUCCUCUGCGCGCGCAGGAAACUUGAGAAGAGCUGUCCCUAGUACGAGAGGACCGGGAUGGACGAACCUCUGGUGUGUCAGUUGUUCUGCCAAGAGCACCGCUGAUUAGCUACGUUCGGAAGUGAUAACCGCUGAAAGCAUCUAAGCGGGAAGCAUGCUUCAAGAU
rnacentral:rRNA from 1 species